rnacentral:miRNA from 1 species
GCAGACACAUUCCAGCCAAUCAGCAGCAGACCCUCCCUCCCAGACCCUUCCACCUCCUGGACAGCAUCCAUUUUGAAGCUGCAUUCUUAGUGAGCUGUCCAGGAAGUGGGAGGGUCUGGGAGGGAGGGUCUGUUGCUGAUUGGCUGGAAUGUGUCUG